rnacentral:rRNA from 1 species
GACGAACGCUGGCGGCGUGCCUAAUACAUGCAAGUUGAGCGCUGAAGGAUGGUACUUGUACCAACUGGAUGAGCAGCGAACGGGUGAGUAACGCGUGGGGCAUCUGCCAUUGAGCGGGGGACAACAUUUGGAAAAGACUGCUAAUACUGCAUCAAAACUUUAAACACUAGAUUUAAGUUUGAAAGAUGCAAUUGCAUCACUCAAAGAUGAUCCCGCGUUGGAUUAGCUAGUUGGUGAGGUAAAGGCUCACCAAGGCGAUGGUACAUAGCCGACCUGAGAGGGAUAACCGGCACAUUGGCACUGGGACACGGCCCAAACUCCUACGGGAGGCAGCAGUUGGGAAUCUUCGGCAAUGGACGAAAGUCUGACUGAACAACUCCGCGUGAGUUAAGGAAGUUUUCGGAGCGUAAAACUCUGUUUGUAGGGAAGGACAAGGGGGAGAUUGAAAAGCUCAUCAAGUGACGGUAACUACCCAGAAAGGGACGGCUAACUACGUG